rnacentral:rRNA from 1 species
GACAUAAGUAACGAUAAAGCGGGUGAAAAGCCCGCUCGCCGGAAGACCAAGGGUUCCUGUCCAACGUUAAUCGGGGCAGGGUGAGUCGACCCCUAAGGCGAGGCCGAAAGGCGUAGUCGAUGGGAAACGGGUUAAUAUUCCCGUACUUGGUGUUACUGCGAAGGGGGGACGGAGAAGGCUAUGUUGGCCGGGCGACGGUUGUCCCGGUUUAAGCGUGUAGGUGUGUGUUCCAGGUAAAUCCGGUUCACUUUAACACUGAGGCGUGAUGACGAGGCACUACGGUGCUGAAGCAACAAAUGCCCUGCUUCCAGGAAAAGCCUCUAAGCAUCAGGUAACAUCAAAUCGUACCCCAAACCGACACAGGUGGUCAGGUAGAGAAUACCAAGGCGCUUGAGAGAACUCGGGUGAAGGAACUAGGCAAAAUGGUGCCGUAACUUCGGGAGAAGGCACGCUGACACGUAGGUGAAGUGAUUUACUCAUGGAGCUGAAGUCAGUCGAAGAUACCAGCUGGCUGCAACUGUUUAUUAAAAACACAGCACUGUGCAAACACGAAAGUGGACGUAUACGGUGUGACGCCUGCCCGGUGCCGGAAGGUUAAUUGAUGGGGUCAGCGCAAGCGAAGCUCCUGAUCGAAGCCCCGGUAAACGGCGGCCGUAACUAUAACGGUCCUAAGGUAGCGAAAUUCCUUGUCGGGUAAGUUCCGACCUGCACGAAUGGCGUAAUGAUGGCCAGGCUGUCUCCACCCGAGACUCAGUGAAAUUGAACUCGCUGUGAAGAUGCAGUGUACCCGCGGCAAGACGGAAAGACCCCGUGAACCUUUACUAUAGCUUGACACUGAACAUUGAGCCUUGAUGUGUAGGAUAGGUGGGAGGCUUUGAAGUGUGGACGCCAGUCUGCAUGGAGCCGACCUUGAAAUACCACCCUUUAAUGUUUGAUGUUCUAACGUGGACCCGUAAUCCGGGUUGCGGACAGUGUCUGGUGGGUAGUUUGACUGGGGCGGUCUCCUCCUAAAGAGUAACGGAGGAGCACGAAGGUUGGCUAAUCCUGGUCGGACAUCAGGAGGUUAGUGCAAUGGCAUAAGCCAGCUUGACUGCGAGCGUGACGGCGCGAGCAGGUGCGAAAGCAGGUCAUAGUGAUCCGGUGGUUCUGAAUGGAAGGGCCAUCGCUCAACGGAUAAAAGGUACUCCGGGGAUAACAGGCUGAUACCGCCCAAGAGUUCAUAUCGACGGCGGUGUUUGGCACCUCGAUGUCGGCUCAUCACAUCCUGGGGCUGAAGUAGGUCCCAAGGGUAUGGCUGUUCGCCAUUUAAAGUGGUACGCGAGCUGGGUUUAGAACGUCGUGAGACAGUUCGGUCCCUAUCUGCCGUGGGCGCUGGAGAACUGAGGGGGGCUGCUCCUAGUACGAGAGGACCGGAGUGGACGCAUCACUGGUGUUCGGGUUGUCAUGCCAAUGGCACUGCCCGGUAGCUAAAUGCGGAAGAGAUAAGUGCUGAAAGCAUCUAAGCACGAAACUUGCCCCGA